GAGAGAAGAAAACGAGAAGUGUGCAACGAACAGGGUUAUGAUGGUGAUCUGGUUCGUGUAUAAGGUGAGAUUUUUCAAAUUUAAUUGUAAAGUAUUACGAUCUCCGUCUCAAAAUAUCCGUUUCAAAUUUUUUAAUUUAAUUUUUUAUUUUUUUCAUUAAUCAAUAAGAGACAUUUUUUUUUUAUGUUUUACUUUCUGCAUUAAUUAUUUUUUCUUUAAACUAAAAUGUAAACAUCAUUUAAUAGGGGUACUAUAAUAAAUUAAGCAUAUUAUUAAUUAUUUUUCUUAAUCAAUGUUGUCAUAUCAAUUUGGGACGGAUAAUUUAAGACGGGGGGAGUAUUUUAUUUUAUUCAAUUUAAGAUGAUUUGAAUAUGUGACGAGGAAAAACACUGAUGUUUCAGUUUGUAAGUGUGAGAUGUUAGCUUUGCAUGAUUUCAGGUGGGAUAGAGCCGUAGAGGAAGAUCGAAGAAAUACUGAAGGAAGGUGAUUAGACUGAUAUGAAUCAAUUACAACUUACUGAGGACAUGACCUUAUAUAGAAAGUUGUGGAAAAAGUGAAUUAGGUUAGAGGGCUAGUAAGGGUGGAUGGGGCGUAGGUAGUAGAUAGGAAUCCUUUGGUAUACCCUUGCUAGUAGUCGUAGGAGGAUUGGGGUGAGGAUGUGCUCCCGAUUUGAUAGUGUGGAGUACUACUUUAUGGGUGUUAUUUUCUAUUAUUCCAUCUUAUUUUAUGUUUUAUUUUGACUUUGUUUACUGUUUUUGGUUUCAAGCCGGG
rnacentral:lncRNA from 1 species